AAGGAGUGCUCCUCGCCAUCUACUUCCUUUAGAUCUCCGGAAGCUGCCUCUCUCCCUCGAUUCUCGCCUCUUCCGAUCCCCUCGCCGGGUUUGUCUCUUCAGGAGGUGGAGUUUGGGUGGUGGAGGAGUGGGUUUUGGGAUGGACGGAGGGAGGGCCACCGCGGAUGCCACCUCCGGGCGGAUGGUCUUUGAGCCCAUACUUGAAGAGGGGGUUUUCCGGUUCGAUUGCUCGGGGAAUGACAGAGAUGCGGCGUUUCCGAGCAUUUCUUUUGUUGAUCCUAAGGCAAGGGAGACGCCGAUCAUGGUUCAUAAGGUGCCGGAGUAUAUCCCUAUGUUUCAACGUAUUUAUGGACAACAGAUCGUCAAGAUUCAGCUUCCUUCUGGAUCAUCCUUUUAUGGAACUGGAGAAGUAAGUGGGCAGCUUGAGCGGACAGGCAAGCGGAUACAUGGGGGACCACAUCCCUGUAUCAGUCACAUCCUUGGGUUCUAGCUCUUCUACCAGAUGGAAAGGCAUUGGGUGUUCUUGCUGACACAACUUGGCGUUGUGAGGUUGACUUACGGGAAGAUUUCACGAUAAAGUUUGUGGCAAUGGGUGUUUACCCUGUAAUCACAUUUGGCCCAUUUGAGACACCUACUGAUGUCUUGAUGUCACUGUCUCAUGCAAUUGGUUAUUUUCUUAAAACCAUUUCCACUGUUCUAGAUAUCAUUUAAAACACUUUAAUCUAUUUCAUAGAUUUGAAUUUAUAUGCUGUCUCUAUUUGCAUUUCUUGCAUACUUAGAUUACUACUUAUCCAAUUAAAUUUUUUAUGACAGGAAAAAUUCGAAUCCAGCAGGACAUUUUUCGUGCUUAUUAUUCAUGUAUAUAUAUUUUUUUAAAGGCCAAAUGAAGAUUACUUUGUUGAAUUAAAUUAGUGAUUGAUUGCUUUUCAGUACGUGUUUUAAAUAGCAUCUUUGAUAACGUCUAGGUCAUAGAGCUAAAUGCUUAAGAAAGUUGAUUAGCGAACUUGCUGGUGAACAGAACAGUGCAAUAUUAUUAGUCUAAUUGUCCAAUUAGAAAUGUAACACCACAAGUAGGUUCCUCACACAAACCAGGGUGGCCCUAACUGAACUUUUUCAGAUGAUCAACUUGAAAUUGAAAAUUGGAACUAAUGAUCUCCUGUCAUGUGGUGAAGACUGUGUAGAGGGAAUGUUGACAACAAUACCUAGCCCACAAUAGAUAAUAAUAAUUAAUGGAAGGAUCUAGCAGCAUGUCACCAAAUUCAGUAACGUGUUAAUGGGAGGCCAAUAUCUGGAUUCAAUGAAACUACAUGAUUUUGUAUUGAAUUCCACAUCAGUGCAAUGGUUCACUGCAAGAACAAUAACUUAAUGUAAAAAGUUCAAUUUGGCCGUGGCCUCUCUCUUAUGGCAUUUACUGAACAUACAUACCACCAAUAUAUUUACGCUGGGAGACUUUGGUAAACAAACAACAAAAUAUUCUAUUUUUCUUAUCAAUUGUUUCUGAAAGUACCCAAAUUAUACUGGCAGUUUUAUGCAAAAUUAAGUCUUUUGUAUAUGAUGUCACUUGCAUUGUCCUCUCGAUUCUUAUCUGUUCUAUUAUAUAAUGUGAACUCCCAAGUGCUCUGUUCAUGAAGCACCUUGCUUCUGUGGCUUGAUGUACAUGCAUUGUACAUACCAUCCUUCAGUAGUUUCUACAUUAUAACAUUCAACUAUAACAUAUGUAAGUAUCUGAAAUAGGAGUUAUUAUAAAAACCGAACUUUGUCAAAUCAUAUAAAACUUGGUAAUUUGCUCAUGAUAGUUGAAAUUUCUCUUGUGAUCUAUAUUGGUUUUACCAUUACAAUUUGGUUUCCAUAUCUAUUCUUCUCCAUUAAAAUUUUAGGAACCAUUUUUAUGCCUCCCAAAUGGUCACUUGGAUAUCAUCAAUGUCAUUGGAGCUAUGACUCUGCUGCAAAAGUUCUCAAGGUUGCCAGAACAUUUCGAGAGAAACACAUACCUUGUGAUGUCAUAUGGAUGGACAUUGACUUUAUGGAUGGCUUUCGAUGUUUUACAUUUGACAAAAUCAGGCUUAUGAUGUGGCAGAUAUGAAAAGAAUAAGGUGCUUGUAUCAUA